rnacentral:rRNA from 1 species
CGGUACCUGACUAAGAAGCCCCGGCUAACUACGUGCCAGCACCGCGGUAAUACGUAGGGGGCAAGCGUUAUCCGGAUUUACUGGGUGUAAAGGGAGCGUAGACGGCACGGCAAGCCAGAUGUGAAAGCCCGGGGCUCAACCCCGGGACUGCAUUUGGAACUGCUGAGCUAGAGUGUCGGAGAGGCAAGUGGAAUUCCUAGUGUAGCGGUGAAAUGCGUAGAUAUUAGGAGGAACACCAGUGGCGAAGGCGGCUUGCUGGACGAUGACUGACGUUGAGGCUCGAAAGCGUGGGGAGCAAACAGGAUUAGAUACCCUGGUAGUCCACGCCGUAAACGAUGACUGCUAGGUGUCGGGUGGCAAAGCCAUUCGGACUGCCGCAGCUAACGCAAUAA